AAGCAAUUAAUAAUGCGCACCUUGAUCUGAGGAAAAAUUGACUUUGAUCGAUCACUUCGUUCUGGCUAGUGGAAGAGGCAGGAGUGAUCGAAUUUUAAGUGUCGCGCCGUGAUGUGUGUUUAAAGUUGAGUCAGCUAAGGAAAAGUGCCAAGUUCCGUAUAGCUACUAGUUUCGUGCGUGUGUUUUAGUAUUGUGCAGGUUUGUGGCAUACUGCGAAACCCCACACAUCGCACCCCAAAGCCAACGAUCGCUUCUGACCCCACCGUCAGCUACGAGGGUUUCCCGGAAGUACGUCGACCGGAAGAGGGCUUGCGUACGUUUCAUCGCGCCCUAGGCAGAGGUUGCAGUCAUCCGCGUUCAUCAUCGAAUUGCGCCAACCACAUACAGUUCAUCACCGCGACGACCGUACCCGUUCAUCGCCGCUGCGUGAAGCCCACAGACCGGAGGGAAUAUCAUCUGCGUCAACGUCAGCGACGCGAGCUUCGAUCAACGGUGCUCAUCGAAUGAACGACCGUUUGAUUUUCGAAUUCCCUCCACCAAAAGCGUACGCAAAGCAAACCGUAAGUAAUCAUGCAUGAUUAGAUAAGUCCAUGCGCAUGGCUCAGUUCCCGCCGCUACCGAAGAACUAACAGUAAGUAGCGUGCCAAUCGAAACUUUCACGUGGCUGUCCUUAGUCCCCGCGCUUGCGCUGAUAGCCACGCUUCUGAGCACACACACCUAAA